UACGUAGGGUCCGAGCGUUGUCCGGAAUUAUUGGGCGUAAAGGGCUCGUAGGCGGUCCGUCACGUCGGGAGUGAAAACUCAGGGCUCAACCCUGAGCGUGCUUCCGAUACGGGCGGACUAGAGGUAUGCAGGGGAGAACGGAAUUCCUGGUGUAGCGGUGGAAUGCGCAGAUAUCAGGAGGAACACCGGUGGCGAAGGCGGGUCUCUGGGCCGAUACUGACGCUGAGGUGCGAAAGCGUGGGGAGCAAACAGG
rnacentral:rRNA from 1 species